rnacentral:lncRNA from 1 species
UUAACCCGGUUUUUGUGAAAUUCGUUAAGGUUCGAAUCUCAUGAUUACCGUUAAGGUUUGAUUUGGGUUUUACACCAAUACGUAUUCCAUUCUGUCAAACUAUGUAUUUAACUACCAAGAAUACUCCCAACUACACCCUUACAAUCAAACAAACUAUUAAAUUAUCAGAAGAUCCAGAAUAAUAAAGUGCAUGCUUAAUUAUCGGAAGAAGUAGAAUCAAGAAGUUUGUUAACUCAAUCCGGCAUGCUGAUUUGUAAUUACAAUAGAUUGGAGCAAGGAUUGGAUCCAGCACUGAAGGACUUCAAGAAGUGGCUUAUUUUAUUAAUUAAAUCAAAUUAAGAAAUAUUGUUUUAUUAAAAGCUACCUUUGUAAAACAUGGAAUUUAUUCCAUCUAUUUAAAUA